rnacentral:rRNA from 1 species
AAGUCGAACGUGAUCCGGGGCUUGCUCCGGUGAAAGUGGCGGACGGGUGAGUAACGCGUGGGAACCUGCCCAGUGGUCGGGGAUAACUGCGGGAAACUGCAGCUAAUACCCGGUAAGCCCCCAGGUUUUGGCUUGGGGGGAAAGAUUCAUCGCCAUCGGAGGGGCCCGCGUCGGAUUAGGUAGUUGGUGGGGUAAAGGCCUACCAAGCCUUCGAUCCGUAGCUGGUCUGAGAGGAUGAUCAGCCACACUGGGACUGAGAUACGGCCCAGACUCCUACGGGAGGCAGCAGUGGGGAAUAUUGGACAAUGGGCGCAAGCCUGAUCCAGCAAUGCCGCGUGAGUGAAGAAGGCCUUAGGGUUGUAAAGCUCUUUCGGCGGGGACGAUGAUGACGGUACCCGCAGAAGAAGCCCCGGCUAACUCCGUGCCAGCAGCCGCGGUAAUACGGAGGGGGCUAGCGUUGUUCGGAAUUACUGGGCGUAAAGGGCGCGUAGGCGGCGCGAUAAGUUGGGCGUGAAAGGCCCGGGCUCAACCCGGGGACUGCGCUUGAUACUGUCGCGCUGUGAGUCCGGGAGAGGAUGGCGGAAUUCCCAGUGUAGAGGUGAAAUUCGUAGAUAUUGGGAAGAACACCGGUGGCGAAGGCGGCCAUCUGGACCGGCACUGACGCUGAGGCGCGAAAGCGUGGGGAGCAAACAGGAUUAGAUACCCUGGUAGUCC